rnacentral:tRNA from 1 species
GGGGUUGUGGCUCAGAGGUAGAGUGCUUGCCUAGCAUGCAUGAGGCACUAGGUUCGAUCCUCAGUACCA